UCUUAUGUGGUUGUCAUCGCGCAUGUUGCGGUUUAGUCUCUAGGAUCGAGAUCAUGGUGAUCUGGACUGUGUUUUUCCCAUGUAUAUAAGAUGACGUAAACACCAGCAGUAUCACCUAUGCAUUGAAUGCAGGAGCUCAGGUCAUACCAACCUGGCUAAAGCUUUUGUUUAUUACAUUCUUGUAAUAAAAGUCCACCCGCCUCACACCCCAGUGGAUUUGUGGUUCUUGUCACUACAAUAACUACAUCCUGACGCUGCUACAUAGAGUUCGUGGAACACCACAGGGACAAAACAACACAAACCACACAUGGUUUACGGGUCAUGACACCACUUCCGGAACCUGGGUGUGGCCAGAUCAUAGUCAAAACAAGAGCAAGUGACUGCCAGCCAGAGUGCAUCUCCAACAAAAUCUAUUGUUUGAACUCCUUACAACUAUAUGCUUCAAAACUUUAUCUGCUCGUCUCAAAGACCACCAUCAAGUGGUUACAGGAUGCAAAAUCCACAAACGUGUACUGAUCAUGGGCGGAUCCAGGAAUUUUGAAAGGUGUGUGUGUGUAUGUGUGUGUGUGUGUGUUUCGAACCCCCCCUCCGGAUCCACCAAUGCUGAUACAAUCCAACAGAUUGACUUGUUUACAUCUGGACA